CCAUUUUGGACAGACACCUCCGACUCUCGAAGACUUUCCCUGUGGUCAGAUACCUGCCUUGAAGUGCCUCCCAUUGUGGUCAGACACAUCCAAAUCCAGAUGCAACAUAGUACCCCCAGGCUUACGGCACUUACUUUCGUAAAAAGACUGGCCAAGAAUGAAGAAUGAUAUUGACAUCUGCCUUAUGGAAUAAAGUAUUACCAUCUAUCUUUCAAAUAUCAGUCUCAUAAAGUAAGGAGACACCGGCCUGAGCGGCACAGGCUCGGAGACGGCGUGACUACACCAAGUAUAUAACCAGUUUUCAUGAAAGCCAACAGAGAAACAAAGCACCUUUUGGUGGGUGGCCUUAGCCAAGCUAUUUCUAAGAUGGACCUACAAAAUCAGUUCAGCAGAUUUGGAGAAGUUUCUGAUGUGGAGAUCAUCACAUGAAAAGAUGACCAAGGAAAUGCACAGAAAGUCUUUGCAUAUGUUAACAUUAGAGUAGCAGAAGCAGACCUAAAAAAAUAAUAAUAAUAAUGUUCUUUGUCAUUACUUUUUUCCUCUUUUUCAUGUUACUGCAUUUGGUGUUUCAUUUCCUGGAUCUGUAGAUUUAUUAUUUUCAGCAAGUUUGGAAAAUUUCCAAUUGUUAAUUUUGUAUUGAACAUAUUUCAGACUCUGAUAUUAUCUUAAAGCCUGUUAAAUCUUAUUUUUAAUUUUCUUUUCUGUGUGUUUUAUUUGAUAUGGCAUCUAAUACUAUAUUAUAAGAUUUCUAGUCUUUUCUUCUGCAGUGACUAAUCUACUGUUAACCCUGUCCAGUUCACAUCUUAUGUAAUUGUUACUAAUUUUCCGGUUCACUUCUGGUCAUGUUCUUGCUUUUCUAUAUGUCUUAGUAACUUGUCUCUCAUUGCUGACACAAAAUACCCGACAUCCAAAGUUAAAGAGGAAAAGGUUUAUUUAGCUCACAGUUCUUAGAUAUUUCAGUCCACAGUCAGCU